UCAAUUACCUAUUUUUUAGGUUUUAAAAAAACAUUUCUGUCUCUUCGCUCUGCCGAGUUCCUCGUGCUUGCUCCGCUUGCGCCGCCUCUUACUACGCUUGCUCCGCCGCGGUGGUUCUUUUGUCCGCCGUCAAUUUUUCCGAUUUACUUCGUUCUGUUGAAAUCUCUGGUAAGAUCCUCAAAUUAUGUACCCUAAUUUUUGAAAUUUGCUUAUGUGAUUGACUUCGUUUCUGGUGAAUCUGGGUAAUUAUUCUUCUUCCUCUUUCACUCUCCUAAUCUGCUAUUUUUUCGUUUUUAGGUUUAUUAGAAUCGAUGAUGAUUUGAUUCUGGUUCUUGUGUGAUUAUGUGAGUAAUUUGAUGGUGCGAGUUCCGAAUAUAACAUUAAUUUCAAGGUAGAGUACAAAAUUAGGUCCUCAAUAUUAUGAGGAUCCAUGGGCACCCUUCAGAUUCUGACAACGUGAUUACUAUGACAUCCUUUUUGGGACGGGAUGUAGGUCUAGGGAGUAAUAGUUGGAAGUAUGUGAAUAUGCUCAUCAUUCUGCAAUAUUGUCAUAUUUAUACUAGGCCUAGUUCAUAAUGAAUUGAAUUGCUUAUUCUGAUAUUCAG
rnacentral:lncRNA from 1 species